GCUUGACCCGUUAACUGGUGACGACAACCCGACAUUUCUCCUACCUUCGGCCACCUUCACCGGUAGCUUUGUCUUUGUCUCCACGUUGCGACCAAGUCUGUUGCUUUUGUUUCAUCAGUCGAGCUUCAAGGAGGGAAAAUCGAAGCUUAAAAACUUCGAACUUCCGGCGGUUUCUGCGUUUUCCGGCGACUGAGUCAGCAUUGAUGACAACUGAGGUAUGAAAGUUGAUCCUCUAGAUGAGCUCUACAUAAUAAUAUACUUGGUUUCGAUUCUAAUUGAGAUUUGAGAUAUUACUGUUCUGCGGUGAUUUCGGCCACAGUCGAAACACAGUUCACAGCGGCGGUUUGGCUUGUUUUAGGGUCCAUUUCCGUCGACCUUAAUCAUUAUAGCUUGGUUUUGCUUCAAUCAUAUAAAUCUUGAAGUGGGGUAGAAACUUUGGAAUUGAGCCUUCUCGGUUGUGGUUGUCGAAGUACUGUUGUGCAAAGAGAGUUUAGUUCGAUUACGAAAGUCAAGAUGUUGCAGGGUUUAGACUUUAGAUUGUGUCUUGAUUAAAGGAUAUGAAUAUGAACUUCAAUAUUGUCGGUAAUGAUCCUUGAGGAAGGUAUGGUCCUGAAGCUUGAUUAUACAAGGGGCCGUGACCACUUUACAAUUGGUAUGGAACUCUUAAAUUGUUGGAAGGUUGAUAUGGGAAUUUGA
rnacentral:lncRNA from 1 species